UACGUAGGUGACCAGCGUUGUCCGGAUUUACUGGGCGUAAAGCGCGCGUAGGUGGUUUGUUAAGUUGAAUGUGAAAUCCCCGGGCUCAACCUGGGAACUGCAUCCAAAACUGGCAAGCUAGAGUAGGGCAGAGGGUGGUGGAAUUUCCUGUGUAGCGGUGAAAUGCGUAGAUAUAGGAAGGAACACCAGUGGCGAAGGCGGCCACCUGGGCUCAUACUGACACUGAGGUGCGAAAGCGUGGGGAGCAAACAGG
rnacentral:rRNA from 1 species